rnacentral:lncRNA from 1 species
AUUUGAACUGCUAAUGAUAUGGCUACUCUAGAAUUCUGUUUUCUGCAUACCAUCUAUGAGCUAUUUAACCCUGGGGCCUCCCUUCUCUGAAGACACAGGACUGAAGACGCCUGGCUGGCAAGGCAGGAGUAUGUUAAGAGGAAAAGUGUUAUUUCAGCAGGCUCACCACAGAGGCUCUCUAGAGGGAUCGGCUCGAAUGGCUGAACAGAAGGAACCUGAAUUUGUUGACACGAUGUCUCCUCAGCCUGAGUGGGGACCAGUGAUUGCCUUGGAUUCUGAUGGCAGAGCAGUUUAUCCGCGAUUUGUUUACGAUGCUUUACCAGAAAAGAGACAUUAAAUCAAAAGCAAGCACAGCACUGGGGAAAGCUGCUGUGUCCCUGAACUUGGUACUUCCUGUCAAUGUGAACACUCACUAAUGCUACAGUUUUAGGCAGUGAUUCCAGAUUCCAAUAGAACCUUUGGACACUGAAUCUCCAGGGAGAACCUUUAAGAACAGACCAUGUACCUGCAACAGAGGACCCUGGGAACCUUGCGCCUGGGUUCUGAUGCACCGUAUAUCAUGCAUCUUUUUCUUCAUUGAACUUGCCUUGUCUUCUUUUCCCAUGAUGCAUCACAGCCAAUGAACACUACCAUAUGCUGACUCUUAUGUCCUGGAGAGCAAUCACGUCCAUCCAAGUGCUCAGGGGAACGCUCAACACACAACUAUUCUAAACGUAGUUUCUGAACUGAGUGGACGGUGGUUUAAGAUUGCAAAGGUCUACACUGAAUCAUCAAAAUGGGGCUGACGUGACGAUGAGGCCUGUGCAGUCACACAGGACCCCCUGAUUUUUAGAGGACUCCUCCCAAGUCUGUGCUGAGCUGUGAACAUUCAACAGGUCUCAAAACUCUUAAUACAGAGUCUUAAUUUUUACUUUGUUCUGGGUCGUCAAAUGAUGCAAUUUACAAAGGGUCAAGGUGGUACUGAGCUAUCUCCAUAUUUACUUACCCUCAUGCGUGUAUGUAUGUGCCUCUACACACACAUUCUGCGUGUUCUUCUUUUUAUAAGAACACCAUAUUAAACUGGAGUCCAUCUUAAUGACCUUGUUUUUUUUUUUUUUUUUUUUAAACUUUAUUGCUCUCCAAAGUGAGAUCACUUUCUGAGGUGGUGCAGUUAUGAUUUGAACACUGCAUGAGGGUCACAGUUCAAGGUCUAGUAAAUCAACCUUUUCCUCUCUCUAUGUACUUGACAAUUUUAUGUUUAAGGCCCUGUUCGUGAUCUUUCUCAGAGUCCACGAGAAGUCGGGUUACCAGUAAAAGAGAAGAAGGUGCACACAGCUGGAUGACUGCAGCACAGGAAUGAGGGGCCAG